AUUGAACGCUGGCGGCAGGCCUAACACAUGCAAGUCGAACGAGUGGCGGACGGGUGAGUAAUCUCUGGGAACCUGCCUGAUGGCGGGGGAUAACUACUAGAAACGGUAGCUAAUACCGCAUACUAUCAGAUGUGCCCAUAUGGGAUUAGCUAGUUGGUGGGGUAACGGCUCACCAAGGCGACGAUCCAUAGCUGGUCUGAGAGGAUGACCAGCCACACUGGAACUGAGACACGGUCCAGACUCCUACGGGAGGCAGCAGUGGGGAAUAUUGCACAAUGGGCGCAAGCCUGAUGCAGCCAUGCCGCGUGUAUGAAGAAGGCCUUCGGGUUGUAAAGUACUUUCAGCGGGGAGGCGUUACCCGCAGAAGAAGCACCGGCUAACUCCGUGCCAGCAGCCGCGGUAAUUC
rnacentral:rRNA from 1 species